rnacentral:tRNA from 1 species
GCCAUCAUGGUGUAAUGGUCAACACGCUUGACGCGUAUUCGAGAGGUCCAUGGUUCGAGUCCCAGCGAGGGCA